rnacentral:lncRNA from 1 species
AAGAGACACUGACCAACUUUAAGCAGAGCUCGGCUAUGCAGUUCGCCGAGUGCUCAGGUCCCUUCAUGAUGGUGGUUAUGACUCGGUUUUAGCUCUUGUGCUACCAGAGGAGUGACUGUGCAGGAGUAGAAGUCAGGAGAGAUGCUGACUCUAAAAACCCAGGCACCUUGCGCUUUGAAGCUCAAGCAGCCACAUGGAGAGACCGUGUGCAGGUCUUGCAGCCAACUGCCCCAGCUGAGAUCCUGGCCAACGGCCAGCAUCCACCACCAGACAUGUGAGUGAGUGAGCUUCAGAGGAUUCCAAUCUCUAAUUGUCAUGUAACCCCCAGGCUUCAGGUCUUCCCAGUUGAGAGCCCAGGCAUUGCUGCCCAGAGACCAGCCGUCCCUUUCUGGAUUUAUGACCCACAGAAUAUGUGGGCAGAAUCAAAUGUUGUUGUUGUAAGUUUGGGGUGGUUUGUACGACAGCAAUAGUAACUGGACCACUAGGUAGAGCUUGCGUCUCCCUGGGGAACAUGGCAAUGUUGUUUCUGCGGUCACUCUUGUUAUUCUCAUUGCCUCCAAAUAGAAGCCAUUUUCAAAGGUAGAGUGGGAGCUCUCUCAUUUUUAGUAAACUCAAAGCAAG